CCUACGGGUGGCAGCAGUGGGGAAUAUUGGGCAAUGGGCGAAAGCCUGACCCAGCAAUGCCGCGUGAAGGAAGAAGGCUUUCGGGUUGUAAACUUCUUUUGACAGGGAGGAGCAGAAGACGGUACGUGUCGAAUAAGCAACGGCUAACUACGUGCCAGCAGCCGCGGUAAUACGGAGGUGGCAAGCGUUGUCCGGAUUUACUGGGUGUACAGGGCGUGUAGCCGGGCUGACAAGUCAGAUGUGAACUCCGGGGGCUCAACCCCCGAACUGCAUUUGAAACUGUUGGGCUUGAGUAUCGGUGAGGCAGGCGGAAUGCAUGGUGUAGCGGUGAAAUGCGUAGAGAUUAGAAGGAACACCAGUGGCGAAGGCGGCCUGCUGAACGACAACUGACGGUGAGGCGCGAAAGCGUGGGGAGCAAACAGGAUUAGAUACCCCGGUAGUC
rnacentral:rRNA from 1 species